rnacentral:rRNA from 1 species
UACGUAGGGUGCAGGCGUUAAUCGGAAUUACUGGGCGUAAAGCGUGCGCAGGCGGCUUCCUAAGUCAGAUGUGAAAUCCCCAGGCUCAACCUGGGAACUGCGUUUGAAACUGGGAGGCUAGAGUGCGGCAGAGGGAGGUGGAAUUCCACGUGUAGCAGUGAAAUGCGUAGAUAUGUGGAGGAACACCGAUGGCGAAGGCAGCCUCCUGGGCCAGCACUGACGCUCAUGCACGAAAGCGUGGGGAGCAAACAGG